rnacentral:rRNA from 1 species
UACGGAGGGUGCGAGCGUUGUCCGGAAUCACUGGGCGUAAAGGGCGCGUAGGCGGCAUGCCAAGCGUGUGGUGAAAGCCCGGGGCUCAACCCCGGGUCGGCCGUGCGGACUGGCGUGCUCGAGCACUGUAGGGGCGGGUGGAAUUCCGGGUGUAGCAGUGAAAUGCGUAGAGAUGCGGAGGAACACCGAUGGCGAAGGCAGCCCCCUGGGCUGACACUGACGCUCAGGCACGAAAGCGUGGGGAGCAAACAGG